rnacentral:lncRNA from 1 species
CAUUUGCUUAUGCUUCAAAGAAACAUUUUAAAGAAUGUGACAAGCCCAAGCCUUCACCAACUCCAUACUACUACAAAUCACCUCCACCUCCCUCACCUGUUUACAAGUACAACUCUCCACCUCCACCAGUCCAUUAUUAUUCACCACCAUAUUACUACAAAUCACCUCCUCCUCCAGUAAAAUCGCCACCAACACCUUACUACUACAAAUCACCUCCACCUCCCUCACCAGUUUACAAGUACAACUCACCACCUCCACCGGUCCAUUAUUACUCUCCUCCAUAUUCCUAUAAGUCGCCUCCACCUCCCUCACCAGUUUACAAAUACAACUCCCCACCUCCACCAGUCCACCAUUAUGAUCCUCCAUAUUACUACAAGUCACCUCCACCUCCCUCACCAGUUUACAAGUACAACUCCCCACCUCCACCAGUCCAUUAUUAUUCACCUCCAUAUUACUACAAAUCCCCACCUCCUCCUGUGAAAUCCCCACCACCCCCUUACUACUAUAAAUCACCUCCACCUCCCUCACCAGUUUACAAAUACAACUCACCACCUCCACCGGUUUACAAGUACAACUCACCACCUCCACCAGUCCACCAUUAUGAUCCUCCAUAUAACUACAAGUCACCUCCACCUCCUUCACCUGUUUACAAGUACAACUCCCCACCUCCACCAGUCCAUUAUUAUUCACCUCCAUAUUACUACAAAUCACNNN